GUGCCAGCCGCCGCGGUAAUACCGGCAGCCCGAGUGAUGGCCGAUCUUAUUGGGCCUAAAGCGUCCGUAGCUGGCUGCGCAAGUCCGUCGGGAAAUCGACGCGCUCAACGCGUCGGCGUCCGGUGGAAACUACACAGCUUGGGGCCGAGAGACUUGACGGGUACGUCCGGGGUAGGAGUGAAAUCCCGUAAUCCUGGACGGACCACCGAUGGGGAAACCACGUCAAGAGACCGGACCCGACGGUGAGGGACGAAAGCCAGGGUCUCGAACCGGAUUAGAUACCCCUGUAGUCC
rnacentral:rRNA from 1 species